rnacentral:lncRNA from 1 species
CCGUCUGACUUCGAUUCCACGCUCACCCCUUUAAAUAGAGGAAUUAAAGACGCGAGAGAGAGCACAAUGCUUGUUCCUACAAACAAUGGAAUCCCACCGUCGGAUAGCUGCGCAAAGAAAUCCUGGCCCUUGGUUUUGGAGGAGAUCCUGAUAAGCAUCAAAAUGGGGAAUUGGAUCAGCAAGUGCGGAUUGAGGUGUAGCGGGCGGUACAAUGUACUCCACCUUAGUGUCCAUAUCAUACUUGACCGUUUUGUAAAUACGUGUAGUAGAGGUGUAUUCAUCUCAUUCUUUCCUGUUUAUAUGCUUGGAACAUUGUAGAGGACUCUCCCAUAUACAAAAAUUAUUGACAACACAAUGUAAUGAAUAAGAGACGAUGUCUUUCCACUUUUCAGGGCAUGGUUACCAUAGAGAAAAGUAGACUUGGAGUGGAAUCACGCAAACGCUUUUUUAUUGACAUUGUUAUCUCCGAAUAUACAACUAAAGAAAAAGGUUGAAAUACAUAAAAUAAAAUAACAGUUUUAUAAUUAUAUCAGAGUUUGAUUAAGCUUUUUAUUAGUAAGUGUUUCAAUUUCGAUUGGAUAAUAUGAUUGAUCUUCUGCAUUACAUUUAAGUUUGAGGUUUAAAAAUACGGAUUAAACUUGAGACAUUUUGUAUCAUAAAAUUUUCCUUACAUCUACUUAACAAGUUUAAAUAAUGAAACUGUUAUGAAUUUUAUAAGUUCGAACUUAAAUAUAAUUAACAAGUUUAAAUAAUGAAAUUUAAUAAAUUUAAAAUUCAAACAUUCGAUUAAAAAUAUACAAGACAGCUAAUUUGAAGUCGGAGAUUUGAAAAUUGCUUGAUUUCGUAGAUUAUUACAUGAAUACAAAGAUUAGGGUCGUUCUUUCUGUUACAAAACAUAUAUUUAUAAAUAUUUUUUCACAAAUUAUGCAAUAUCAUUGCCAAAUUCUUUGUAUUACAACACAAUACAGAAAACAAAGAGCAAUUAGAUAAGAGCUCCACCCUUCACAUAUUCAGUAAAUGCCAACGCAACCAGACCCAACAUAGCAAAUCUACCAUUCCACAGCUCCGCAUUAGAUGUCAUGAACCCGUCUGACUUCGAUUCCACGCUCACCCCUUUAAAUAGAGGAAUUAAAGACGCGAGAGAGAGCACAAUGCUUGUUCCUACAAACAAUGGAAUCCCACCGUCGGAUAGCUGCGCAAAGAAAUCCUG